rnacentral:lncRNA from 1 species
GUUGUAUGACACUGAAAUUUUGUGGUUGUAUAUUUUGCAGCAAUGGCUGACUGAUACUCUGGUAACUGACAACACCCAUGAGAAAAGAACUGACCAGCAUCUGGGGCAGGCUGCUCUGUCCCUGGCUCUUCACACCUUUCCUUUGAUCUGUCUGAUAAUGAUCUCAAGACUAUACUGCUUAACUGAGUCAAUCAACAUUUAUCAGCCAUGUGCAGGAAUAUCUGUUAAAGACCAGGAAUCCAAAGACUCAUAUGCAUGUUUCCUGUGCUCAGCAAGUUUACAACCUAGCAGAAGAAAAGAGACACGACAUAUAAAUCGGUCCACUUUAGAAGUGCUGUGACUGACCUAUGGACAAGGUGCUAAGGGAAGAGGAAUGAUGUAAAGCCAG